CACUGCACCGUCACUUACGCGUUGAACAUACCUCUCCGGUCUCCGGUCUCCCUGACGAAUUACAUUAUCAAUCAUUCGGAUUAUUUUCGUCAAUCCCGGCAGACGAGUCAUCAAAUCGAUACCAUAAAUCUUCGAUUUUACAUAUUACUUUAAAACUGGUCUUAAGAAUUAUUCUAAAACGACACGGGUCCGGAUUUUCAUAAACGCCAGAAAGUU